UUGUGGCGUCUCCCAGGCGGGUUGGCGCAGUGCUCGAGAAGACACUUAACCAUUGUUCUAGUUGGUCACGGCCCACAGCAGCCAGUGUAUUUUUUUGUUGUGUUACGAGCAGGCUGAAGAAUUGGCGGCGUGAUCUCAUCGGACAACGAUAAGAUCUGAGAUUGUGUAUUGUAUGGGUUGGCAAAUUUUAAGAUGUUUUAUACGCUACGGUAGAAAUAUCAGUCGCUUGAUUCGACAUUGGCAAGUGUUUAUGCUCACAUGCCUGGCUGUGUCAAGGUGAUCUCCCCAAGUGGUAAGAGCAUGUUAAUUAAUGACUGGCGCUUGAUUCGUGGCUGUGCGCGCUCCUUAAUGAUGACUUGCCUUGGGUAGCAGCGUGCCGGACUUGUGCUGUGUGGAGCCAAUGGAGUGACCAGUGACUAUUGAAAAGGAUAAGAUUUUCUAGUAAUACUUAAGCACUGAUGAAAAGUGCCUUGUAUUGUUGCGUUUACGUGCGUUCUGGAUACUUGUUAUAACGAAAUUUUUGACGUAUAUACCCAGCCUUAUUGGUUUCAUGAUUUGUACUGCUUAUUGACAUCGUUGAGUUUGAGCUGACGUGGCUGUCUGGCUUUGUUUGUGUUAUCGCAGUGUUUGUUUCUUCCCAGCCGCUCCGGGAAGACUCCGAGGAGACUGAAGUGAGAGGGAGGCAGUGUGCGAGAGGCAGGAGAGAGGAUGGGAGAGUGGUGUUAUCGAUGAGACCUCACUCACGCGACGCCUCACCCUCCCUCCCUACCUCCGCGACCCCCCGCCGCCAGCCACCAACACCGCCACCCCUCACGCCCUCGCCCCGUUGUCGUCGGAAUGGGGAGUGUUCAUGGUGAUUCACUCACGAGGUUGAUACUUGAUGACUGCACACAGGCGACUGAGAGAAGCGUGAUUCCCCAGAUGUGUUUAUUGAUUGACAUGUACUUUCAUUUUACAUUUUCUUAUUAAAUGAUGGAAGGUUUUAGCAUUUAUACUCAUGAUCAUAACAACAGCAGCAGCAACAACAACGACAACAACAACAACAACAAUAAUAAUAAUUGUAAUUUAAUGUAACCUUUUAAUAAGAAUUUUAAUGUUUCUAAAUAUUUUGCAUACUCCAAUCUGUUUGAUGAGUGCUUUUUAUUAGUUUCGACUCUUUUCAGUAAACAACAAUACUUGCACACCAAGACAACGCGUAUUUAUUCAUGCUUAUUGUAUAAAUACUUUCUUGGUGAGUAGAUUUUUAGUCAUUAUCAAAUAUUAGUAGUAUUUCAUAAUAUAUAUUCUUGCAAGUAAAUCUAAGCAGCAGAUCAAUUAUGCUCAUCCCCAUAAUAUCUACUUUCUUCACACGUAUUGUAUUUACUGCACAAAUUAUUUUACUUGCUCUGUAUUGAAUGCAAGGCUCCACUGCUGCCUUACAUGUACCUGAAGCUUAAUCUAAUGUCGCUGCAAGGUAGCUUCAUUCGCAAAGUUGCUCAUUUACACAUAAUUAUGUUCUCCUGAAUAAUCCAAGACGUUGCUGAGGGUAACUUACAGAACCCAGUGAUCUGUGUCUCAGUCACCAAGGGAGCCCGCCAUGUUACGUUCAUCGCAUACUUAAUUAAAUAUUCUCCUUAUUGAUU